CUGUGCUAGAUGGGAAGGCAGCGGUGUCCUGUAACCCGCAAUCCGCUAUAGCGGGGUUGAAUUCCCGUCUGAGGCCUGUGAUAUGUAGGGUCAGCCCCAUGAGAGAAGCGUUGAAGGUUGGGUCUUGCGCAAUAGCAACCUGUGAACCCCGUCAGAUUCGGAAGAAAGCAGCGGUAAGCAGUCAUUGUUAUGUGCCGCAAGGUCAUCUGGCCUGAGCGGAUCGAAUGGACGGCGCCUGUAUAUUCUUGUCGGGGGCGGGUGCACGG
rnacentral:SRP_RNA from 1 species